UGUUGGCAGAGUGAGCUUGGAGGAAAAACUUUUAGUUGACCGUCAUUUAUGUCUUUUACAUAGAUUCAUUCCCGUCAUUUUGGCAUAUUGAGCAGUACCGCCAUUUCUGUCAUCUUUAUCAUUGUCAUCUUCAAUACUCUUGUCCUCAUGUGGAUUGGAAGUCAUAGACAUGGACCACUUGCACUGUUUUGGGCAACCAGAAAUCCAUCAUUGAGGACUCCAUAUGGAAGCGCUGAAAUCAACAACAUGGUGGAGACACAAUCGAAGGGGGCUUGCCUGGAGGAGGACUUUGACACAUGAAUAAGACGGCGCUGUUACGGUUGGGGGGGUCGCAGCUUGCUGCGUGGUUCGUUCCCCCGGGAUGCAAACGGACCGCUCAGGACAGGACUUGCAGAUAUGGUGGCUUGAAGGUGACAUCUGUCUGCGAGGUAGAGG